CAGUCGCCACGGUAAUACGUAGGGUGCGAGCGUUAAUCGGAAUUACUGGGCGUAAAGCGUGCGCAGGCGGUUCGUUAAGACAGAUGUGAAAUCCCCGGGCUUAACCUGGGAACUGCAUUUGUGACUGGCGAGCUAGAGUAUGGCAGAGGGGGGUAGAAUUCCACGUGUAGCAGUGAAAUGCGUAGAGAUGUGGGGGAAUACCGAUGGCGAAGGCAGCCCCCUGGGCCAAUACUGACGCUCAUGCACGAAAGCGUGGGGAGCAAGCAGGAUUAGAUACCCCAGUAGUCCCUGUCUCUUAUAC
rnacentral:rRNA from 1 species